rnacentral:rRNA from 1 species
AGCAGCCGCGGUAAUUCCAGCUCCAAUAGCGUAUAUUAAAGUUGUUGCAGUUAAAAAGCUCGUAGUUGAAUUUCGGGGUCAGUAGGUUGGUCGUGCCACAGGUAUGAACUGGCCUCACUGAUUCCUCCUUCCUGAUGAACCGUAAUGCCAUUAAUUUGGUGUUGCGGGGAGACUGGACUGUUACUUUGAAAAAAUUAGGGUGUUUAAAGCAGGCUAACGCUUGAAUACAUUAGCAUGGAAUAAUGAAAUAGGACGUUCGGUCUUAUUUUGUUGGUUUCUAAGAUUGACGUAAUGAUUAAUAGGGAUAGUUGGGGGCAUUAGUAUUCAAUUGUCAGAGGUGAAAUUCUUGGAUUUAU